rnacentral:rRNA from 1 species
GCGUUCCUACGGGGCGCAGCAGUGGGGAAUAUUGGGCAAUGGGCGCAAGCCUGACCCAGCAACGCCGCGUGAAGGAAGAAGGCUUUCGGGUUGUAAACUUCUUUUCUCAGGGACGAAGCAAGUGACGGUACCUGAGGAAUAAGCCACGGCUAACUACGUGCCAGCAGCCGCGGUAAUACGUAGGUGGCAAGCGUUAUCCGGAUUUACUGGGUGUAAAGGGCGUGUAGGCGGGGAAGCAAGUUAGAAGUGAAAA